GCUUUUGACGGGUAACGGGGAAUUAGGGUUCGACUCCGGAGAGGGAGCCUGAGAAACGGCUACCACAUCCAAGGAAGGCAGCAGGCGCGCAAAUUACCCAAUCCCGAUACGGGGAGGUAGUGACAAGAAAUACCGAUUCAGGAUCUUAUUGGAUCUUGAGAUUGGAAUGAGUACAAUUCAAACCCAUUAACGAGGAACAACUAGAGGGCAAGUCUGGUGCCAGCAGCCGCGGUAAUUCCAGCUCUAGUAGCGUAUAUUAAAAUUGUUGCAGUUAAAACGCUCGUAGUUGAACUUUGGGCUUGGCUGGCUGGUCCGCCUCACCGCGUGCACUGGUCCGGCUGGGCCUUUCCUCUUGGGGAUCCACAUGCCCUUCACUUGGGUGUGUUGGGGAACCAGGACUUUUACUUUGAAAAAAUUAGGGUGUUCAAAGCAGGCAUUUGCUCGAAUACAUUAGCAUGGGAUAAUAGAAUAGGACGUGUGGUCUUAUUUUGUUGGUUUCUAGGACCGCCGUAAUGAUUGAUAGGGAUAGUUGGGGGCAUCGGUAUUCAAUU
rnacentral:rRNA from 2 species